GACGAACGCUGGCGGCGUGCUUAACACAUGCAAGUCGAGCGGUAAGGCCCUUUCGGGGGUACACGAGCGGCGAACGGGUGAGUAACACGUGGGUGACCUGCCCUCAGCUCUGGGAUAAGCCCGGGAAACUGGGUCUAAUACCGGAUAUGACUCCAUGACGCAUGUUGUGGGGUGGAAAGCCUUGUGCGGCUGAGGAUGGGCCCGCGGCCUAUCAGCUUGUUGGUGGGGUGAUGGCCACCAAGGCGACGACGGGUAGCCGGCCUGAGAGGGCGACCGGCCACACUGGGACUGAGAUACGGCCCAGACUCCUACGGGAGGCAGCAGUGGGGAAUCUUGCGCAAUGGGCGAAAGCCUGACGCAGCGACGCCGCGUGAGGGAUGACGGCCU
rnacentral:rRNA from 1 species